rnacentral:rRNA from 1 species
GAUGAACGCUGGCGGCGUGCCUAAUACAUGCAAGUCGAACGAACAGACAAUAAGCUUGCUCCUCUACCGUUAGCGGCUGACGGGCGAGUAACACGUGGAUAACCUUCUUCUAAGACUGGGAUAAUUUCGGGGAACCGCAGAUAAUACCGGCUCAUAUAUUGAACCGCAGAGUUCAAUAGUUAUUGACGGCUUUCCCGUCUCUAUUAGCUGGUGUCGGAUUAGCUAGUUGGCGAGGUAAAGUCCCACCAAGGCAACGAUCCGUAGCUGACCUGAGAGGAUGAUCGGCCACACUGGAACUGAGACACGGUCCAGACUCCUACGGGAGGCAGCAGUGGGGAAUAUUCCGCAAUGGGCGAAAGCCUGAUGGAGCAAUGCCGCGUGAGUGAUGAAGGUCUUCGGGUUGUAAAACUCUGUUGUUAGGGAAGAAAAAAUGUAGAAGUAUCCAUGCACGUUUUGACGGUACCUAAUCAGAAAGCCCCGGCUAACUUCGUG